UGCAAGUCGAACGAUGAAGCCUUUCGGGGUGGAUUAGUGGCGAACGGGUGAGUAACACGUGGGUAACCUGCCCUUGGCUUUGGGAUAAGCCCUGGAAACGGGGUCUAAUACCGGAUAUGACUGACUCUCGCAUGGGGGUUGGUGGAAAGUUCCGGCGGCCAGGGAUGGGCCCGCGGCCUAUCAGCUUGUUGGUGGGGUAACAGCCUACCAAGGCGACGACGGGUAGCCGGCCUGAGAGGGCGACCGGCCACACUGGGACUGAGACACGGCCCAGACUCCUACGGGAGGCAGCAGUGGGGAAUAUUGCACAAUGGGCGAAAGCCUGAUGCAGCGACGCCGCGUGAGGGAUGACGGCCUUCGGGUUGUAAACCUCUUUCGCACGGGACGAAGCGAGAGUGACGGUACCGUGAGAAGAAGCACCGGCUAACUACGUGCCAGCAGCCGCGGUAAUACGUAGGGUGCGAGCGUUGUCCGGAAUUAUUGGGCGUAAAGAGCUCGUAGGCGGUUUGUCGCGUCGACUGUGAAAACUGGGGGCUUAACUCUCAGCUUGCAGUCGAUACGGGCAGACUUGAGUUCGGUAGGGGAGACUGGAAUUCCUGGUGUAGCGGUGAAAUGCGCAGAUAUCAGGAGGAACACCGGUGGCGAAGGCGGGUCUCUGGGCCGAUACUGACGCUGAGGAGCGAAAGCGUGGGGAGCGAACAGGAUUAGAUACCCUGGUAGUCCACGCUGUAAACGUUGGGCGCUAGGUGUGGGGAGCAUCCAAGCUUUCCGUGCCGUAGCUAACGCAUUAAGCGCCCCGCCUGGGGAGUACGGCCGCAAGGCUAAAACUCAAAGGAAUUGAC
rnacentral:rRNA from 1 species